rnacentral:piRNA from 1 species
UGACAACAGAGUCAAAUACAACAGUGAAAU